UACUUAGCGUCUGACUUGGACUUCCUUCUCCCUGCUACAGCCCUCCUCAUUUUACAAACUGUUGCAAUUUCUGG
rnacentral:lncRNA from 1 species